AUCCUGAGCGCACCUUUAAUCACCAGCCCGUCCGUUUGUCUAUCUGUCUUCUUUUUCUCUCCGAUGACUCGUCUAUUUGCUUUUUCAACAAAAGAAAGACACGAAGAAUCAAGCAAAGGUAAAAAAGAAAAAAAGAAUGCGAAUCUUGCGGUUCAUCUGCGGUGGAGACGCACACACAGAGACACACAUUCGCAGAUAUAUUCUACGAUUCCUUUGAUGCAUCAGCAAACUUCCCAACAACAACAUGUGUAAAACUACAGAUUAGUAUACAUACACCUAUAUGGAUUUUAUGAUUCCUAUAAAUCUAAAACUAAUAAUACUUAAGGAAGUUGAUACUUGAUAAUAUAAGCGUCACCGUAGACGCAAAAUGUUACAUGCUCGUUCGCAAGUCGGAGCUACGACUGGGAUGAUAAUGGAAACGACAGAUGAGACAGAAAGAAAGAAAGAAAAAGAUAGGGAGAAAGAGAGAAAGAGAAAGAGAAAGAGAGAGAGAGAGAGAGAGAGAGAGAGAGAGAUAACGUAAAAAGUUGCGGUCUUUCGCGAAGAGUCAUAGACGGUCGAGAAUCGUGCUCUUCUCCUAAGUCGUUGCAUGGUCGGGGCCACGGUGGCGGCUAUGGCUAUGGGUUAUGGUGGUGGUGACGAUGGUGGUGAUGGUGGUGAUGGUGGUGGUGGCGGCGGUUGCGGUGGCGGUGGCGGCGUCGUCCGUAAGGUCAAGGCCCUCUGCAAGCGCCCUACCCGACUCUUAUGCACCUUCGGGGUCACGUGACGCGGCUCAAGGUCUUCUCUCCCCACUCCUGCAAGCAUUGCACGGCCACGCCAUGCCACCCGCCGUUACCACCGACGGUGCAACAAGCGUGUCCCCCCUUCCUCUUGAUCCCCUCUUGCUUCCCAACCCUACCCUACCCUAUCCUACCCUACCCUACCGUAUUCUCUGCCCUACCCUUCCCACCCUUUUUCCUCUCUGUCUUCCUGGCCCAACUCUCUUGUCCCUCGUCGUCUCUUGAAUGCGCCUGCUGGCCGGGCCGGUCCGCAUCAUCUUCUCUUCUCUUCUCGGUCGUUCCAAGUCGCGUAACUUCUCUCCCGAGGAACUUCUAUGAACGUGGAUUCGGCUUUGAGCCGUUAGAGUACAAGUACCGUUUCGUUUCUCUUUAUAGAUAUAUAUAUGUAUGUAUGUACACAUUUAUAUCUAUAUACGCGUACGUAUAUACACUAUCUUACAAUAAUAUUUAAUUCCUUUCUUAGUUUGUUAAACUUUUUUUCCGUUCAUUACUUUUCUCACGAAGUUAUCUUCGUUUCAUUAACAUUUUUUUUUCAUUUUUUUUUUUUAAACGAAAUCGAGGUCGCGUUUUACGUAACAAAGUGUUUGUUAACGGUAUAAUAAAGUGUACUAUUAUCGAUUAGAUUCUUUAUAUCAAUCUUGAGAAAAUUUGUUCUUGUAGAUAAAUAGAUAUAUAUUCCAGGUGAAUCUAGAC